rnacentral:rRNA from 1 species
GGGCCCCUCCUUGUCAUGUCUGCCGGCAUGGCGCAGUGAGGUGCGGGCAUAUAGACGAACCAGUGUGGAUGCUGGACCGUAGAGGGUGAGAGUCCCGUAGUCGAAAUGUGUUCCGCCGCUGUUGGGGGGUUGCCCGAGUAGCACGGGGCCCGAGGAAUCCCGUGUGAAUCUGCCAGGACCACCUGGUAAGCCUGAAUACUACCUGUUGACCGAUAGCGGAUCAGUACCGUGAGGGAAUGGUGAAAAGUACCCCGGGAGGGGAGUGAAAUAGUACCUGAAACCAUGUGCCUACAAACCGUUGGAGCCUCCUGGUGGGGUGACAGCGUGCCUUUUGAAGAAUGAGCCUGCGAGUUAGUGAUACGUGGCGAGGUUAACCCGUGUGGGGAAGCCGUAGCGAAAGCGAGUCUGAAUAGGGCGAUUGAGUCGCGUGUCCUAGACCCGAAGCGGAGUGAUCUACCCAUGGCCAGGUUGAAGCGCGUGUAAGAGCGCGUGGAGGACCGAACCCACUUCAGUUGAAAAUGGAGGGGAUGAGCUGUGGGUAGGGGUGAAAGGCCAAUCAAACUCCGUGAUAGCUGGUUCUCCCCGAAAUGCAUUUAGGUGCAGCGUCACGUGUUUCUUCCCGGAGGUAGAGCUACUGGAUGGACGAUGGGCCCUACAAGGUUACUGACUUCAGCCAAACUCCGAAUGCCGGGAAGUGAGAGCGUGGCAGUGAGACUGUGGGGGAUAAGCUUCAUAGUCGAGAGGGAAACAGCCCAGACCACCGGUUAAGGCCCCUAAGCGUGUGCUAAGUGGGAAAGGAUGUGGAGUUGCUGAGACAACCAGGAGGUUGGCUUAGAAGCAGCCACCCUUGAAAGAGUGCGUAAUAGCUCACUGGUCAAGUGAUUCCGCGCCGACAAUGUAGCGGGGCUCAAGUACACCGCCGAAACCGUGGCAUUCAGUUUUGCUGGAUGGGUAGGGGAGCGUCGUUCACGAGGUGAAGCCAGCGGGUAACUUCUGGUGGAUUGUGGACGAGUGAGAAUGCAGGCAUGAGUAGCGAAAGACGGGUGAGAAACCCGUCCGCCGGAUGACUAAGGGUUCCAGGGUCAAGCUAAUCUGCCCUGGGUAAGUCGGGACCUAAGGCGAGGCCGACAGGCGUAGUCGAUGGACAACGGGUUGAUAUUCCCGUACCAGUGAAGAACCGCCCAUGCUGAGCCGGUGAUACUAACCGCCCGAACCAUCCCGAUCCUCGUCUUUGACGGGGACGGUGGUGGGGAGCGCGGGACCUGAACCGGGGAGGCAAGCGCAUUAAC